UACGUAGGGUGCAAGCGUUGUCCGGAAUUAUUGGGCGUAAAGAGCUCGUAGGCGGUUUGUCGCGUCUGCUGUGAAAACUCGGGGCUUAACCCCGGGUCUGCAUUCGAUACGGGCUAGCUAGAGUGUGGUAGGGGAGAUCGGAAUUCCUGGUGUAGCGGUGAAAUGCGCAGAUAUCAGGAGGAACACCGGUGGCGAAGGCGGAUCUCUGGGCCAUUACUGGCGCUGAGGAGCGAAAGCGUGGGGAGCGAACAGG
rnacentral:rRNA from 1 species